AUUGAACGCUGGCGGCAGGCCUAACACAUGCAAGUCGAACGAGUGGCGGACGGGUGAGUAAUGUAUGGGAAACUGCCCGAUGGAGGGGGAUAACUACUGGAAACGGUAGCUAAUACCGCAUACUAUCGGAUGUGCCCAGAUGGGAUUAGCUAGUAGGUGGGGUAAAGGCUCACCUAGGCGACGAUCCCUAGCUGGUCUGAGAGGAUGAACAGCCACACUGGGAACGAGAAACGGCCCCGACUCCGAAGGGAGGCAGCAGGGGGGAAUAUUGGCAAAUGGGGGCAAGGCUGAUGGAGGCCUGGCGGGGGGAUGAAGAAAGCCUUAGGGUUGUUAAGUUCUUUUAGCGGGGAGGAGUUAACCGCAGGAGAAGCACCGGCUAACUCCGUGCCCGCCGCCGCGGUAAUAC
rnacentral:rRNA from 1 species